AGAGUUUGAUCAUGGCUCAGAACGAACGCUGGCGGCGUGCUUAACACAUGCAAGUCGUACGAGAAAUCUGGACUUCGGUCUAGAGAGUAAAGUGGCGCACGGGUGAGUAUCGCGUAGGUAAUCUACUCUUGGGUCUGGGAUAACUCGCCGAAAGGCGGGCUAAUACCAGAUAAUAUCUGUCAGAGGGAUCUGAUAGAUCAAAGGUGACCUCUCCAUGGAUGUUACUGCCUGAGAAUGAGCCUGCGUCCCAUUAGCUUGUUGGUGGGGUAAUGGCCUACCAAGGCUACGAUGGGUAGCUGGUCUGAGAGGAUGACCAGCCACACUGGAACUGAAACACGGUCCAGACUCCUACGGGAGGCAGCAGUGAGGAAUAUUGCGCAAUGGGGGAAACCCUGACGCAGCGACGCCGCGUGGGUGAAGAAGGCCCUUGGGUCGUAAAGCCCUGUCUAGAGGGAAGAACCUCUCGAUGGAAUAAUACCUGUCGGGANG
rnacentral:rRNA from 1 species